GGUAGGCAGUGAUGAUAUAGGAAGAACUUCCCUAAGGACUAUGAAAAAGGAGUUUGAAGCCUUGGGGCAACAGAAGCUGAGGUGAUAGACCAACAGGCAGCCACCAGACUUUCUGAACUCUGGCUUUAAGCUAACCACAAGCCUGAAGAAAAUGGGAACUGUAAGGAGAGAAAACCAAUUCAAGCUAAUUCUGGAAGAGAUCUGAAAGCUGUCAGCAAGAGGAAAACAAUUUGAAGAAAGACAAGUAUUUGCUGUCAAGAGUUGUUAUCCUUUAAGAGGGCUGCUCUCAGAUUCUUGCAAUUUAUUGACAGCUAAAUGAAAUCAGGAAGCCAGAAUACUUAUUUGGCAACUCAGAGAUUUCUCCACUGUUAGAUAUCACCUGUAGACUCAAGCAGCAUUAUGAUGUAUGUUUUCUUGCUUCCAAGCACUAACAUACCUGAGAUUGGUUACAAAAGCCUGAGGAAACUCUUUUUCCUUUAACUUAAAAAUGCAUUCCAAAGUGUAAAACUUUAAGGUGUUGGUUUCCCCCUACUUCUAUUUUUAUUUCCAGCCGAAAAUAAAAGGAAACAGUGCUGUAUGAAAGUCUGAAGUCCUUAGGGAGAAGUGUUCAAAAACAAUCCAUAAACAUAGAAUCAAAAAUAAAUGUAACUUUAAAAUAAACUGAAUGCUUUCCCAUACUGUAUAGAAAAAAAAUUAAUAAAAUUAAUAAAAUCAAUCUUCA
ensembl:lncRNA